UACGUAGGCAGCGAGCGUUGUUCGGAGUUACUGGGCGUAAAGCGUGCGUAGGCGGUUGGCAAAGUCAGCUGUGAAAGCCCCGGGCUUAACCUGGGAAUGGCGGUUGAAACUAGUCGACUGGAAUCUGGCAGAGGGGGGUGGAAUUCCACGUGUAGCAGCGAAAUGCGUAGAGAUGUGGAGGAACACCGAUGGCGAAGGCAGCCCCCUGGGCUGAGAUUGACGCUCAGGCACGAAAGCGUGGGGAGCAAACAGG
rnacentral:rRNA from 1 species